UUUGUUUUCAAAUGAUUGUUAGCGUUAUUUAAUAGACUUGGUAGCAUUGUGGCAAAUGGCACUUGAUUUGGCACUUCAGAAUUUUUUUUAAAAACAUCUAGACUCUAUAGAGUUCAAAAUGUAGAAAAUCAAAGUAUACCUUAGUGGGAAUGUAAGAGAAUAAUAUGCUUAUAGCAAUGAGAAGACAUUGUUGCUUCUUCUACAGGCUUUUCAUGAAUUGGCCAUGCUGGUAUAUUACUGGUACCUAAAGUGGGAUUCUAAGGGUUUAUUGCAUAUAAUCCAAAUACAAAACCUUGUCAUGAGAAUGCUUUUGCUGUACCUUGACAGUUUACAUAAUUGGUUUUAAUAUGACAUGGUUCUUUCAAAAACCAUAGGACAGACAUAACUAUGAUAAUAGUGGAUUAUUAAGAUAGCCUUUUGGAAUGCAUCUGGUCUCUUCUCUUUAAAAUUAGGGAUGUGGAGAAUAAGUGACAAUCUUUCAUUCAUUUCAUGAUUGGAUGCACACAUGGUCUCUCAUUUUAGUUUGCUCGGCGGAGAAAGUAAUCAUCACUUGUGGAUUUGUUUGUACAUGUGAAACCUGGGUUAUAAGCCUUAUAUUCUGCUAACUAACCGCAAGAAUUGUCCUUUCUGUAACCACUAAUAUGCAACUAUUUUGGGGCCACCGUAUUUAUGAUUGUGGAAAUCAUUCAGCUAUUAUAGCAAGAUUUUAUUCUUGUAAAUAUUGAUUCAUCAGUAUUGUGCAAAUACUGGAAAGGGCACAAAUUUCCCUACUAAAAAGAAAUAAUAGAAACCAACAACAAAUUUGUCCCUGAAGGUAAUGUUGCUCCAUGACCAUGGAUGCAAAUUUGUCUUUAAAGCUGGUGGUGUUCCGUUGGUGGUGCAGCAUAACAUGAAUCUUUGUUUGUUCUUCACUAUUGUAAAGAAAGUUAGCCUUUGCAACAAGAAUGAGUUGCAACACCAUUGGGAAUUGGAACAGUUUCCUUAGUAACUUAUGGACUUCAUGCUUCUUCUUUUAGGUGACAUCUCCAUAUG
rnacentral:misc_RNA from 1 species